UACAGAGGUCUCAAGCGUUGUUCGGAUUCAUUGGGCGUAAAGGGUGCGUAGGCGGCGCGGUAAGUCGGGUGUGAAAUCUCGGAGCUUAACUCCGAAACUGCAUUCGAUACUGCCGUGCUUGAGGACUGGAGAGGAGACUGGAAUUUACGGUGUAGCGGUGAAAUGCGUAGAUAUCGGGAGGAACACCGGUGGCGAAAGCGGCUUACCUGGUCCAGCACCGACGUUCAGGCACGAAAGCGUGGGGAGC
rnacentral:rRNA from 1 species